CCUACGGGAGGCAGCAGUAGGGAAUAUUGGGCAAUGGAGGCAACUCUGACCCAGCCAUGCCGCGUGAACGAAGAAGGCGCUAUGCGUCGUAAAGUUCUUUUAGAGGGGCGAAACACUUGAUUCAUCAAGUACUGACGGUACCUUCGGAAUAAGCACCGGCUAACUCUGUGCCAGCAGCCGCGGUAAUACAGAGGGUGCAAGCGUUAUCCGGAAUCACUGGGUUUAAAGGGUGCGUAGGCGGGAUUAUAAGUCAGAGGUGAAAUCUCGUCGCUUAACGACGGAAUUGCCUUUGAUACUGUUUUUCUUGAAAUUUGUUGAGGUUGGCGGAAUGAGACAUGUAGCGGUGAAAUGCUUAGAUAUGUCUUAGAACACCGAUUGCGAAGGCAGCUGACUGGACAAUAUUUGACGCUGAGGCACGAAAGCGUGGGGAUCAAACAGGAUUAGAUACCCUGGUAGUCCACGCCCUAAACGAUGUUUACUUGCUGUUUGUCUUUCGGGAUGNGUGNGAGAGAAGAGANAUAACACCNGGAGAGCCGCAGGAGAGACANAGAUGNGCGNGNGAGNGCGACGACGACGACGAGGAGGAGG
rnacentral:rRNA from 1 species